AUUUAUUAAUAUUUUCUCGUCAACAUCAUUUUAGCAUGACUAAACAAUUGUCUUGGAAAUUUUGUUAAUACUUCGAACACUGAUUAAACAUGAGUCGCAAUCAACUUCAGGGCGAAUUGGGUGGCCAAUUUGGUGGACAACUAACUGGUCUCUCGACAUUAUACACUGUAGAAGCCCUGGAGAUGCUGUUGUUGCCCAUGGCAAAAGAUGGUACUGAGGCUCUUGGCUCAAUGGGAAAUGACGCUCCUUUGGCUGUGAUGUCCAACAGAGAGAAACGUACAUUUGAGUAUUUCAAGCAGAUGUUUGCUCAGGCUACAAACCCACCGAUUGAUCCGAUUCGAGAGAAAAUAGUCAUGUGGAAGGGGACCUUGCUGAAACAGUUCAUGUGGAAGGCUAUGUGGCAGUUUGCGU